UACGUAGGGUGCAAGCGUUAAUCGGAAUUACUGGGCGUAAAGCGUGCGCAGGCGGUGAUGUAAGCCAGGUGUGAAAUCCCCGGGCUUAACCUGGGAACUGCAUUUGUGACUGCAUCGCUGGAGUGCGGCAGAGGGGGAUGGAAUUCCGCGUGUAGCAGUGAAAUGCGCAGAUAUGCGGAGGAACACCGAUGGCGAAGGCAAUCCCCUGGGCCUGCACUGACGCUCAUGCACGAAAGCGUGGGGAGCAAACAGG
rnacentral:rRNA from 1 species